rnacentral:rRNA from 1 species
CAGUCGCCACGGUAAUACGAAGGGUGCAAGCGUUAAUCGGAAUUACUGGGCGUAAAGCGUGCGUAGGCGGUUUGUUAAGUCUGUUGUGAAAUCCCCGGGCUCAACCUGGGAAUGGCAAUGGAUACUGGCAAGCUAGAAUGUGUCAGAGGAUGGUGGAAUUCCCGGUGUAGCAGUGAAAUGCGUAGAGAUCGGAAGGAACAUCUGUGGCGAAGGCGACUAUCUGGGCCAACACUGACACUGAGGCACGAAAGCGUGGGGAGCAAACAGGAUUAGAUACCCGAGUAGUCCCUGUCUCUUAUAC